rnacentral:rRNA from 1 species
ACGUAGUUGAUCAGUGGCNCAGAACAACGCUGGCGGCAUGCCUAACACAUGCAAGUCGAACGAGACCUUCGGGUCUAGUGGCGCACGGGUGCGUAACGCGUGGGAAUCUGCCCUUAGGUUCGGAAUAACUUCGGGAAACUGAAGCUAAUACCGGAUGAUGACGUAAGUCCAAAGAUUUAUCGCCUAAGGAUGAGCCCGCGUUGGAUUAGCUAGUUGGUGAGGUAAAGGCUCACCAAGGCGACGAUCCAUAGCUGGUCUGAGAGGAUGAUCAGCCACACUGGGACUGAGACACGGCCCAGACUCCUACGGGAGGCAGCAGUGGGGAAUAUUGGACAAUGGGCGAAAGCCUGAUCCAGCAAUGCCGCGUGAGUGAUGAAGGCCUUAGGGUUGUAAAGCUCUUUUACCCGGGAUGAUAAUGACAGUACCGGGAGAAUAAGCUCCGGCUAACUCCGUG